rnacentral:lncRNA from 1 species
GAUGAGAGAUCAUGUAUGCAACUGGUUUGGGAGUGAGAGCUUGAAAUUCAAAGAGUCUUCUAUUCCUUUCAUACCAUAAACACCAUAGACCAAUGGCUAGCAAGGCGUCGAACCCUUCCUAUAGCUCUAAAUUUUGGAUUUUAUUUCUCCACUCAUACCAGAGCAUUCUGAUAGAAAAUGGGAGGUCCAAAAGGUUUGAGUUAGUGAGUAGAAGAGACCAUACCUGUCG